rnacentral:rRNA from 1 species
CAGUAGCCGCGGGAAUACGUAGGUGGCAAGCGUUGUCCGGAAUUAUUGGGCGUAAAGGGCUCGCAGGCGGUCUCUUAAGUCUGAUGUGAAAGCCCCCGGCUCAACCGGGGAGGGUCAUUGGAAACUGGGGAACUUGAGUGCAGAAGAGGAGAGUGGAAUUCCACGUGUAGCGGUGAAAUGCGUAGAGAUGUGGAGGAACACCAGUGGCGAAGGCGACUUUCUGGUCUGUAACCGACGCUGAGGAGCGAAAGCGUGGGGAGCGAACAGGAUUAGAUACCCGUGUAGUCCCUGUCUCUUAUAC